rnacentral:rRNA from 1 species
GACAGAGGGUGCAAACGUUGUUCGGAAUUACUGGGCGUAAAGCGCGUGUAGGCGGCUUGGCAAGUCGGGUGUGAAAGCCCUGGGCUCAACCUAGGAAGUGCACUCGAAACUGCCUCGCUUGAAUGCCGGAGAGGAAAGCGGAAUUCUCGGUGUAGAGGUGAAAUUCGUAGAUAUCGAGAGGAACACCGGUGGCGAAGGCGGCUUUCUGGACGGUGAUUGACGCUGAGACGCGAAAGCCAGGGGAGCAAACGGG